rnacentral:rRNA from 1 species
UGCGUCCCAUCAGCUAGUUGGUGAGGUAAAAGCCCACCAAGGCGAUGACGGGUAGGGGACCUGAGAGGGUGGCCCCCCACAAUGGAACUGAAACACGGUCCAUACACCUACGGGUGGCAGCAGUAGGGAAUAUUGGUAAUGGGCGCAAGCCUGAACCAGCAACGCCGCGUGUGCGAUGACGGCCUUCGGGUUGCAAAGCACUUUUGACCGGGACGAGGAAGGACGGUACCGGUCGAAUCAGCCUCGGCUAACUACGUGCCAGCAGCCGCGGUAAAACGCAGGAGGCGAGCGUUAUCCGGAUUUACUGGGUGUAAAGCGCGUGCAGGCGGCUCGCUAAGUUGGAUGUGAAAGCUCCUGGCUCAACUGGGAGAGGUCGUUCAAAACUGGCGGGCUUGAGGAUGGUAGGGGAAGGUGGAAUUCCGGGUGUAGUGGUGAAAUGCGUAGAUAUCCGGAGGAACACCAGUGGCGAAGGCGGCCUUCUGGACCAUUACUGACGCUCAGACGCGAAAGCUAGGGUAGCAAACGGGAUUAGAGACCCCGGUAGUCCUAGCCGUAAACGAUGUGAACUUGGCGCCUGGCGGGUAAAACCGUUGGGUGCCGCAGCUAACGCGAUAAGUUCACCACCUGGGGACUACGGCCGCAAGGUUAAAACUCAAAGGAAUUGACGGGGGCCCGCACAAGCAGCGGAGCGUGUGGUUUAAUUCGAUGCUACACGAAGAACCUUACCAGGGCUUGACAUGGACGUGGUAGCGAAGCGAAAGCGGAGCGACCCUUCGGGGAGCGUUCACAGGUGCUGCAUG